GAUGAACGCUGGCGGCGUGCCUAAUACAUGCAAGUCGAGCGAACGGACGAGAAGCUUGCUUCUCUGAUGUUAGCGGCGGACGGGUGAGUAACACGUGGAUAACCUACCUAUAAGACUGGGAUAACUUCGGGAAACCGGAGCUAAUACCGGAUAAUAUUUUGAACCGCAUGGUUCAAAAGUGAAAGACGGUCUUGCUGUCACUUAUAGAUGGAUCCGCGCUGCAUUAGCUAGUUGGUAAGGUAACGGCUUAACCAGGCAACGAUGCAUAGCCGACCUGAGAGGGUGAUCGGUCACAUUGAAACUGAGACACAGUCCAGACUCUGACGGGAGGCAGCAGUAGCGAAUCUUCCGCAAUGGGCGAGAGCGUGACGGAGCAACGCCGCGUAAGUGUUGAAGGUCUUCGGAUCGGAAAACUCUGUUAUUAGUGAAGACCAUAUGUGUAAGUAACUGUGCAGAUAUUGACGGUACCUAAUCAGAAAGCGACGGCUAACUACGUG
rnacentral:rRNA from 1 species